rnacentral:snRNA from 1 species
CCUUUGCAGACGACUUAA